rnacentral:rRNA from 1 species
AACGAACGCUGGCGGCAUGCCUAACACAUGCAAGUCGAACGAACCCUUCGGGGUUAGUGGCGCACGGGUGCGUAACGCGUGGGAAUCUGCCCUUUGCUUCGGAAUAACAGUUAGAAAUGACUGCUAAUACCGGAUGAUGUCUUCGGACCAAAGAAUUAUCGGCAAGGGAUGAGCCCGGGUAGGAUUAGGUAGUUGGUGGGGUAAAGGCCUACCAAGCCGACGAUCGUUAGCGGGUCUGCGAGGAUGAGCAGGCGCACUGGGACUGAGACACGGCACAGACUCCUACGGGAGGCAGCAGUGGGGAAUAUUGGACAAUGGGCGCAAGCCUGAUCCAGCAAUGCCGCGUGAGUGAUGAAGGCCUUCGGGUCGUAAAGCUCUUUUACCAGGGAUGAUAAUGACAGUACCUGGAGAAUAAGCUCCGGCUAACUCCGUGCCAGCCGCCGCAGUAAAAC